rnacentral:rRNA from 1 species
GACGUAGGGCGCGAGCGUUGUCCGGAUUUAUUGGGCGUAAAGAGCUCGUAGGCGGCUUGUCGCGUCGAAUGUGAAAACUCGGGGCUCAACUCCGAGCUUGCAUUCGAUACGGGCAGGCUAGAGUUCGGUAGGGGAGACUGGAAUUCCUGGUGUAGCGGUGAAAUGCGCAGAUAUCAGGAGGAACACCGAUGGCGAAGGCAGAUCUCUGGGCCGUUACUGACGCUGAGGAGCGAAAGCGUGGGGAGCGAACAGG